rnacentral:rRNA from 1 species
GACGUAGGGCGCGGAGCGUUGUCCGGAUUUAUUGGGCGUAAAGAGCUCGUAGGCGGCUUGUCGCGUCGAAUGUGAAAACUCGGGGCUCAACUCCGAGCUUGCAUUCGAUACGGGCAGGCUAGAGUUCGGUAGGGGAGACUGGAAUUCCUGGUGUAGCGGUGAAAUGCGCAGAUAUCAGGAGGAACACCAAUAGCGAAGGCAGCUCGCUGGGACGUUACUGACACUGAGGCGCGAAAGCGUGGGGAGCGAACAGG